GUCUGCGUGGAGCCGACCUUGAAAUACCACCCUUUAAUGUUUGAUGUUCUAACGUGGACCCGUAAUCCGGGUUGCGGACAGUGUCUGGUGGGUAGUUUGACUGGGGCGGUCUCCUCCUAAAGAGUAACGGAGGAGCACGAAGGUUGGCUAAUCCUGGUCGGACAUCAGGAGGUUAGUGCAAUGGCAUAAGCCAGCUUGACUGCGAGCGUGACGGCGCGAGCAGGUGCGAAAGCAGGUCAUAGUGAUCCGGUGGUUCUGAAUGGAAGGGCCAUCGCUCAACGGAUAAAAGGUACUCCGGGGAUAACAGGCUGAUACCGCCCAAGAGUUCAUAUCGACGGCGGUGUUUGGCACCUCGAUGUCGGCUCAUCACAUCCUGGGGCUGAAGUAGGUCCCAAGGGUAUGGCUGUUCGCCAUUUAAAGUGGUACGCGAGCUGGGUUUAGAACGUCGUGAGACAGUUCGGUCCCUAUCUGCCGUGGGCGCUGGAGAACUGAGGGGGGCUGCUCCUAGUACGAGAGGACCGGAGUGGACGCAUCACUGGUGUUCGGGUUGUCAUGCCAAUGGCACUGCCCGGUAGCUAAAUGCGGAAGAGAUAAGUGCUGAAAGCAUCUAAGCACGAAACUUGCCCCGAG
rnacentral:rRNA from 4 species